UUGGAGGGCAAGUCUGGUGCCAGCAGCCGCGGUAAUUCCAGCUCCAAUAGCGUAUAUUAAAGUUGUUGCAGUUAAAAAGCUCGUAGUUGAAUUUCGGGGUUCUACCGUUGGUCGGGCAAUAGUCUGUACUGGCGUGUAGCAUUUCUACCUUCUGGGGAACUAUCAUGUUAUUUAUUUAGCGUGGUAGGAAACCAGGACCUUUACCUUGAAAAAAUUAGAGUGUUCAAAGCAGGCUUACGUCUGAAUACAUUAGCAUGGAAUAAUAAAAUAGGACGGCGGUCCUGUUUUGUUGGUUUCUGAAUCACCGUAAUGAUUAAUAGGGAUAGUUGGGGGCAUUAGUAUUCAAUUGUCAGAGGUGAAAUUCUUGGAUUUAUUGAAGACUAACUUCUGCGAAAGCAUUUGCCAAGGAUGUUUUCAUUAAUCAAGAACGAAGGUUAGGGGAUCGAAGACGAUCAGAUACCGUCGUAGUCUUAACCAUAAACUAUGCCGACUAGGGAUCGGACGAUGUUAAUCUUUCUUGACUCGUUCGGCGCCUUACGGGAAAC
rnacentral:rRNA from 1 species